rnacentral:rRNA from 1 species
AGUUUGAUCCUGGCUCAGGACGAACGCUGGCGGCGUGCUUAACACAUGCAAGUCGAACGAUGAUGCCCAGCUUGCUGGGUGGAUUAGUGGCGAACGGGUGAGUAACACGUGAGUAACCUGCCCCUGACUCUGGGAUAAGCGUUGGAAACGACGUCUAAUACUGGAUAUGACUGCCGGCCGCAUGGUCUGGUGGUGGAAAGAUUUUUUGGUUGGGGAUGGACUCGCGGCCUAUCAGCUUGUUGGUGAGGUAAUGGCUCACCAAGGCGACGACGGGUAGCCGGCCUGAGAGGGUGACCGGCCACACUGGGACUGAGACACGGCCCAGACUCCUACGGGAGGCAGCAGUGGGGAAUAUUGCACAAUGGGCGAAAGCCUGAUGCAGCAACGCCGCGUGAGGGAUGACGGCCUUCGGGUUGUAAACCUCUUUUAGUAGGGAAGAAGCGUAAGUG